CCACAUCAGAUUGUAUCAUAGUUAAUAAUGAAGACUAUCAAAGGAAAAAGUUCAGCCAGUGUGAAUCUUGUAGGAGACAGUAAACAACGAAGAGGAAGGGAACCACCACCAGCUUUUCUCAGUCUAAAAGAAGAGAAGAGGAAGAGCAUCCCAGAGAGGAGAUGGAGGAGGAAGAGUUAAGAGAGAGAGAAAGAAAUGAUGACAUGCAGAGGUCAGACAGAGAAAGAAACCGGAGCAGACGAGGUGUGGUGGUGAAGUCAUCAUGUACGCUGGUGUUCCAGUUGCACGUGAACCAGGAUGCGUUCUUCCGUUCUCGGGACUCGCACACAAGUACGGACUUGCGUACUUGGUAUUGAGAAAUGGCCAGCACGCAGUUUGAGUAUUGUUGUGCACUGCAAAAAACAGGCCGAGAUUAUAGUUUUUUAUGAUUGCAUGAACACAAAAAGCAAAAGAGUUAAAUAAUUAUCAACACCUUACACUCAAGGAGCAAAACAAUGGACCAGAUUUUCACCACUAUAAACACAAAGUCAGCCUCACACUUUUUGCAAGACAGUACACACAGUGUACAUGUGCGAAAACACUAAACACACUUGUAUACAUUAGACACAGAAGUAUAUCAUGAUGUCACUUCCUUGCAAGUCCAAAGCACUGACUGAUAAAUCAGUACAUCACCGCUGGAGGUGAUCAGCACUGAUGGAGAGCAGCUGCUGGUUUGCACAGCUGCAGCUCAUCCCGAUCACCUCCGGCAUAAAGACAGUCUCCCCACACCGUUCGGUGUGGGUUUCUACUGCUCGUCACUGACAACGGUGUGUGACACAGCCUGCUCCGGUCGACCCGGUCCCGUCCCUCAGAGAGAACCUGCCUGUAGUGAGUCUUGGCCUUAGUUGGUGUGGAUAGUUUUUUUGUUGGAUUUUGUGUGAAUAAACCCUGUACAAUCAUCCUGUCUGCCUGCAAUCCACUCUGUGCAGUUCUCACUUUGGGUUCCAAACUCCAUACGUACC
ensembl:lncRNA